rnacentral:snRNA from 1 species
GUGAUCGCUUCAGCAGCACAUAUACUAAAAUUGGAACAACACAGAGAAGAUUAGCAUGGGCCCUGUGCAAGAAAGACA